UAGUAUUUUCACUCAAGUCACUUAGAGUAUUUUCGCUGUAACUGGUAAUUUUCACAGACCUAAAUCACGGGUUCGAGAAAAUUGCCGAAAAUAGCUGAAGUUUAUUUUAAAGUAGCUAGAUUUAUAGCUAGUAGCAAUAUCUUAAUUUUUCUAGCAUUCGGCCUAUCAAAAUGGCUAGAACUAGCCAUAAAAUUGCUAAACUGGCAGCACUGAUUUUGUGGCGUCAAACUAUCCAAAAACCAUCUAUGUGUCAAACGGCGUAUACAGGAAGGCAAUUUGCCUGUUAAAAUAUCGUUAAGAAAUUAAACUUGACAGGAUCAUGUAGAAAACACGUUUCGAGUAAAAGGAUCUGUUAAAGAGUGUUGGCGCUGUCAAUAGAAGAAUACAUCUAUAAAUAAAACUAGACACGAUCACUUGCUCCAAGUAGAAAUAUCUUUAAUAGAAUGAAGCUUGAUUGCCAAGAAAAAAAUAGUGCAAACAGACAACCAGACAAACUGCCUUCAUUUGGAAAAAGCUGUAAAAACCGAAUUUCUUGAACACCUUUAUCGACCAAUCGACCCGUAUUAGGAAUGCGAACAUAUAAAAUUAUUCUAUCUAGAGAUUAAAAGGUGUCCUCCAGCCCCAAUUUAGUGAUUAAAAAUUUCUUUAUUUUCACCCUAAUUUGUCCCAAACCAAACGACUUUUGGGAAAUUUUUUGGGAAAUGACAAAAAUUGUCUAAUUAAAACAAUACCUUUCGAUUGGUGUAGAAUUCAUUCAGAUCGGAUGCCUACAGAAAAUUUUUAAGUUUUCGGCUAUAUAUAGAGUCUCCUUGCGCACGCCAAAGCAUGCAGGUCGUCACUUUAUGGACUGCCGUCCACAGUGAUAGAUUGAUGAAUAUUGCAAUUUAUUAGAUUUAUUUAGAUGUUUUAGAUUGUGAUAGAUUGAUGAAUAUUGCAAUUUAUUAGAUUUAUUUAGAUGUUUUUGUUCUUAAAUUAAUGAAAAUAUAAAAAAUGAAAAUAUAAUUCAUCCCGAAUCCAGUACUUUUGCACUUAAGGACAGAAGUAGCAGUUAUAAUAUUUUGAUCGGGCUUUUAUGAUGCUGAAGUUGUGAACUUUUAGAAUAUGACGUUUUAAUCCAUAACGAUAUUUACACAAAUCACAAACGAAUGUUUUCAUUUCGAUAUUUAUGUUAUAAACUGAUUUGAAGAAUAAACUCGAACUCCUUUUAUAGGGUUUUAUGAGUGAAAAUGUCCAAUAUUUAUAUAAUAUGCAUACAAAUUAACUAGAAUUUUAAGCUAUAUUUUAUAUUAAUAACAUAUUAUAAACAAUUAUUUGGGCCAAGAUCUUUUGAGUCUUUAUAAUGUAAACAUUCCCACACUCGCAUCUAGCACCCUAACGGCAGACCAAGCUUGAGAAAUGAAAUAAACAAAUUCCCCCUAUUGAGCCGGCCACGGCAAAAAUAACAUUAGACUAAACAUCCGCUAGAAUCACGCCAUUGCGGCUCCCCUUUUUAAGCAAAUGUAUUGAUACCCAAAUUUUCCAUGCUGAUCACAGCAAUCCCAUUCGGGAAAUUCUCUUCGGAAUUCAAUUCGUAAGAUACUCCGGGAAGAUCCCGAAGCAACAAGGAAAAGAAUCAGCUCAAGCCUGGGCAGUCGGAAUCUAGCUUAGGUUAAGAUACAAUGCUUUGUUAGAUAUAAGAUCGGGAACCAAAUGAAAUUGAAUAAAGUUUAAAAUAUAUUUUUUUGAGUUAAUAACCAGUCGUGAUUAUAACUGGCGCCCAACGGCGACCUGAAAAAUAAAGGUUUCUAUGUAAAAAAAAUGUAUAUUUCACGUACCGGUAAUAACUACAAUAACUUCAACGCCCAAAGUGGAUUUUUUUUUUAAAAAUACGACAAUCAAAUAAAAUAAGUCAAGAAAAAAGUGAAAUAAAAACAGAACAAAAACAAAAAAAUACAAGCUGAAUACAAUUUUUUUAACCACAAAAAAGUGAAAACUCAAACAAACUCAAAAAAAGUGAAAAAAAAUUAAAAAAAAAAUAUAUAUUUUUAUAUACAACCAUAAAAAAAAACUUCUACUUCAAACAAACAAAGGAAACUAAAGUGAAGGCCCACAGGAACAAAAAAUCCGGUAGAAGACCCCUCACACAACGGAAAAGUAUUGUUUAGUUUUAUACAAAAAUUCCACAUCAAUGUAAACCCUAUUUUACAAACCGACACUAUAAUGUAUUUUUAUAUAUUUUUUUCUAUUGUGUUUUUAUAUAUCAUUAUUUUUCCUUUUUUUUCUCUCUCAAAAUAAUCCUAUAUAUUUAAUAUAAUAUACCAAUCUAAAUUAAAGUUCGAAAAAAAAAAAAUUUUGUCUGCUGUUUUGCUAAAGAGUGAUUGAUAAAUACUGGAAGAAUUAAUAAACGCUUUAAGAAAUUUCAAAAUGACAGACUCAAACGGUCCAUCUACUAGCCAUAGCGCUAAUUUAAGCCGACAAACACCUGAACAAACAUUAACUUCAUACCUAAUUGUCCGAUUGAUAGCGAAUAACUUAACACCACUACAUGAGGAAAUA